rnacentral:rRNA from 1 species
GAUGAACGCUGGCGGCGUGCUUAACACAUGCAAGUCGAACGGAAAGGCCAGUGCUUGCCCUGGUACUCGAGUGGCGAACGGGUGAGUAACACGUGGGUGAUCUGCCCUGUACUUCGGGAUAAGCUUGGGAAACUGGGUCUAAUACCGGAUAGGACAACUUUUUGGAUAUUGUUGUGGAAAGCUUUUGCGGUAUGGGAUGAGCUCGCGGCCUAUCAGCUUGUUGGUGGGGUAAUGGCCUACCAAGGCGUCGACGGGUAGCCGGCCUGAGAGGGUGUACGGCCACAUUGGGACUGAGAUACGGCCCAGACUCCUACGGGAGGCAGCAGUGGGGAAUAUUGCACAAUGGGCGCAAGCCUGAUGCAGCGACGCCGCGUGGGGGAUGAAGGCCUUCGGGUUGUAAACUCCUUUCGCUAGGGACGAAGCUUUUUUGUGACGGUACCUGGAGAAGAAGCACCGGCUAACUACG